rnacentral:rRNA from 1 species
AGUGAACGCUGGCGGUAGGCCUAACACAUGCAAGUCGAACGACCGCACAGUAGGAGCUUGCUCUCACGGGUGGCGCGCGUCGGAAGGGUGCGGUAUACAUCGGAUUCUACUUUUUCGUGGGGGCUAACGUAGGGAAUGUUACGCUAAUACAGCAUACGACCCACUGGUGAAAGCACGGGAUCUUCGGACUUUUCGCGUUUGAUUGUGCCGAUGUCGGACUAGCUAGUUGGCGGGGUCAAGGCCCACCAAGGCGCCGAUUCGUAGCUGGUCUGAGAGGAUGAACAGCCACACUGGAACUGAGACACAGUCCAGACUCCUACGGGAGGCAGCAGUGGAGAAUAUUGCACGAAGGGGGCGAGCCUGAUCCAGCCAUACCGCGUGAGUGAAGAAGGCCUUCGGGUGGGUAAGCCCUUUUGUUGUGAAAGAAAAGCAGCAGGUUAAUCCCCCGCGAUUCUGACGGUACCCAAAGAAUAAGCACCGGCUAACUUCGUG